AAAAGGGAUUGCCUUUAAAUUAAUGAUGGAGCAAGAUUCUGAUGAUGCAAGAUUGUGUCUCAGAAAUGAGAAGUGACUGAAGGCAGGAUGGACAUGGAGAUUGGAGAUGUAAAAAUGCAUGGUGGAGUGCACAGUACUUUUGAAAUCUGCUGAUGGAAGAACCGUGCUGUGGGCCAUGACCUGUAAGCUGCAGAACAGCAAGUAAAGGUAAUAGUAAUGGCUAUAGAGUUGACUGUUUUCAACAUCUUUCAACUGGGCAAGAAGCCAAACCCUGACUCAUGGCAGAGAUGUUGACUUUUUGGUAAAAUGGAAUAUCUGUUGACACAUCAUGGUUCAACUGUGACACAGUUGCAACUUGGCUGAACAAAGGGAAGUAUUUUUUUUCUACUUGGCUGCUCAGCACACAAGCACAGGCUGAUUGGCAAAGCUGGAAAAAGGUAUGUCUUUAAGAAGAAAUAGAACAGCUUUAGCAGAGAAGCAAGAGGUGAGUUUUACUUUACAAUCUUAAGGGACAAGGUUGAGAGAAUCCCCUGACAUUGUUAGCAUGGCACAACAUCUUGUGUUUGAAGACUUGCAGAAAGGUAUCUCAUGUGAUGACUAAUGUCACUUAUCUUUUUCUAUUCGUCUGUCACCAGAACUGUGGUGUCUUGGGACAGCUGAUGUCCUUAGGCCUAAGCCAUCCUAUGUCUGUUUGUUCCAUCCAGCUAGGAUGGCAGUGAAGCUAAAUCUGGAGAGUAGAGUCUUGUUCCUAAUAAGCUGAGAACGGUAGGACUUGUCAAGGUGCUGAAUUACUUAAAAUAGCAAAACCACUCCAUUUUGUGUCAGAGAACCUCUUGGUUGUUAAGUGUAACUCCUGCAUGUCUCCAUCUGCUUCAAAAGUGACUCAAGAAAAGGAAACUGGUGUGUUUUACAAGAAUGUCUUGUAUUCAGUGCAUUCUGAGAAUACAAACUCCUGUAACCUAUAUUUCAGACAUUCUUGCCAGUUGAGUCCUUCUGCUGUGUUUGUUUUACCAUCUUCAUUGAGUUAUUGUCACUGUUGAUUUUAAAAGUCUUAAGGCAAUUUCAUGCAGAAAGAUGUCAUGCUGAGGUCAAAGCAAGUUCAGUAACACUUCUUAUUGAACUCUUAAAUACAAGAGGAUUGUUUUUCAUGAGUCUUCAGCAGCUCUAAACUGUUUUAAUGAA